UGGGGAAUAUUGCACAAUGGGCGCAAGCCUGAUGCAGCCAUGCCGCGUGUGUGAAGAAGGCCUUCGGGUUGUAAAGCACUUUCAGCGGGGAGGAAGGCGUUAAGGUUAAUAACCUUGGCGAUUGACGUUACCCGCAGAAGAAGCACCGGCUAACUCCGUGCCAGCAGCCGCGGUAAUACGGAGGGUGCAAGCGUUAAUCGGAAUUACUGGGCGUAAAGCGCACGCAGGCGGUCUGUCAAGUCGGAUGUGAAAUCCCCGGGCUCAACCUGGGAACUGCAUUCGAAACUGGCAGGCUAGAGUCUUGUAGAGGGGGGUAGAAUUCCAGGUGUAGCGGUGAAAUGCGUAGAGAUCUGGAGGAAUACCGGUGGCGAAGGCGGCCCCCUGGACAAAGACUGACGCUAAGGUGCGAAAGCGUGGGGAGCAAACAGG
rnacentral:rRNA from 1 species